GAACGCACAUUGCGCCCGCUAGUAUUCUGGCGGGCAUGCCUGUUCGAGCGUCAUUUCAACCAUCAAGUCCCCGGGCUUGCGUUGGGGCCCUGCGGCUGCCGCAGGCCCUGAAAAUCAGUGGCGGGCUCGCUGUCACACCGAGCGCAGUAGCAAUAUCUCGCUCUGGGCGUGGCGCGGGUGCUUGCCGUAAAACACACCACUUUUCAGAAGGUUGACCUCGGAUCAGGUAGGAAUACCCGCUGAACUUA
rnacentral:misc_RNA from 1 species